CCCUCCCACAGCUGUUGCCUGAGUUUUCAGUCCAUGCUGAGAUUGAAGCCUCAUGGUGGCUGGUACCAUGGAUCUG